rnacentral:rRNA from 1 species
GAUGAACGCUGGCGGCGUGCCUAAUACAUGCAAGUCGAGCGAACGGACGAGAAGCUUGCUUCUCUGAUGUUAGCGGCGGACGGGUGAGUAACACGUGGAUAACCUACCUAUAAGACUGGGAUAACUUCGGGAAACCGGAGCUAAUACCGGAUAAUAUUUUGAACCGCAUGGUUCAAAAGUGAAAGACGGUCUUGCUGUCACUUAUAGAUGGAUCCGCGCUGCAUUAGCUAGUUGGUAAGGUAACGGCUUACCAAGGCAACGAUGCAUAGCCGACCUGAGAGAGUGAUCGGCCACACUGGAACUGAGACACGGUCCAGACUCCUACGGGAGGCAGCAGUAGGGAAUCUUCCGCAAUGGGCGAAAGCCUGACGGAGCAACGCCGCGUGAGUGAUGAAGGUCUUCGGAUCGUAAAACUCUGUUAUUAGGGAAGAACGUAUGUGUAAGUAACUGUGCACAUCUUGACGGUACCUAAUCAGAAAGCCACGGCUAACUACGUG